rnacentral:sRNA from 1 species
CAACUGCCAGCCUAUGGCCACCAAUUGGAUCCAGGAGAAAGUGUGGCUCUCUCAGGAGGUGACUCAGAGUUAACAGAGGAGCUGGACAGCAGGUGGGGACCCCAGGCUGUACCCCUGUUGAUCUGGACAUAUUUCUAGGUGGACAAACUGAGAGUGAUGUUCCUGGAGAUGAAAAAUGAGAAAGAAAAACUCAUGAUCAAGUUCCAGAGCCAUGUAAGAAUGUCCAUGCCGUUCCAGGGCCAUUUCCUACCAUCGUUAACAAAUGCCCCGCCAUGUUUCCCCUGUCCUACCAAGUUUGCUCUUUUAUGCAUAGGACUUAUAAAAUCUGUUUGCUUUCUAGAGAAAUAUCCUAGAGGAGAACCUUCGGCGCUCUGACAAGGAGUUAGAAAAACUAGAUGACAUUGUUCAGCAUAUUUAUAAGACCCUGCUCUCUAUUCCAGAGGUGGUGAGGGGAUGCAAAGAACUACAGGGAUUGCUGGAAUUUCUGAGCUAAGAAACUGAAAGCCAGAAUCUGCUUCACCCCUUUUUACCUGCAAUACCCCCUUACCCCAAUACCAAGACCAACUGGCAUAGAGCCAACUGAGAUAAAUGCUAUUUAAAUAAAGUGUAUUUAAUGAAUUUCUCCAA